rnacentral:rRNA from 2 species
UAACUGUUCACCCAGUGACGGUAUUUAACCAGAAAGCCACGGCUAACUACGUGCCAGCAGCCGCGGUAAUACGUAGGUGGCAAGCGUUAUCCGGAUUUAUUGGGCGUAAAGCGAGCGCAGGCGGUCUUUUAAGUCUAAUGUGAAAGCCUUCGGCUCAACCGAAGAAGUGCAUUGGAAACUGGGAGACUUGAGUGCAGAAGAGGACAGUGGAACUCCAUGUGUAGCGGUGAAAUGCGUAGAUAUAUGGAAGAACACCAGUGGCGAAGGCGGCUGUCUGGUCUGUAACUGACGCUGAGGCUCGAAAGCAUGGGUAGCGAACAGGAUUAGAUACCCUGGUAGUCCAUGCCGUAAACGAUGAUUACUAAGUGUUGGAGGGUUUCCGCCCUUCAGUGCUGCAGCUAACGCAUUAAGUAAUCCGCCUGGGGAGUACGACCGCAAGGUUGAAACUCAAAAGAAUUGACGGGGGCCCGCACAAGCGGUGGAGCAUGUGGUUUAAUUCGAAGCUACGCGAAGAACCUUACCAGGUCUUGACAUCUUCUGCCAACCUAAGAGAUUAGGCGUUCCCUUCGGGGACAGAAUGACAGGUGGUGCAUGGUUGUCGUCAGCUCGUGUCGUGAGAUGUUGGGUUAAGUCCCGCAACGAGCGCAACCCUUAUUACUAGUUGCCAGCAUUCAGUUGGGCACUCUAGUGAGACUGCCGGUGACAAACCGGAGGAAGGUGGGGACGACGUCAAAUCAUCAUGCCCCUUAUGACCUGGGCUACACACGUGCUACAAUGGAUGGUACAACGAGUCGCGAAACCGCGAGGUUUAGCUAA